rnacentral:rRNA from 1 species
UAGGGAAUCUUCGGCAAUGGACGAAAGUCUGACCGAGCAACGCCGCGUGAGUGAAGAAGGUUUUCGGAUCGUAAAACUCUGUUGUUAGAGAAGAACAAGGACGUUAGUAACUGAACGUCCCCUGACGGUAUCUAACCAGAAAGCCACGGCUAACUACGUGCCAGCAGCCGCGGUAAUACGUAGGUGGCAAGCGUUGUCCGGAUUUAUUGGGCGUAAAGCGAGCGCAGGCGGUUUCUUAAGUCUGAUGUGAAAGCCCCCGGCUCAACCGGGGAGGGUCAUUGGAAACUGGGAGACUUGAGUGCAGAAGAGGAGAGUGGAAUUCCAUGUGUAGCGGUGAAAUGCGUAGAUAUAUGGAGGAACACCAGUGGCGAAGGCGGCUCUCUGGUCUGUAACUGACGCUGAGGCUGGAAAGCGUGGGAAGCAAACAGG